rnacentral:rRNA from 1 species
AUUGAACGCUGGCGGCAGGCUUAACACAUGCAAGUCGAGCGGAGUGAUGGUGCUUGCACUAUCACUUAGCGGCGGACGGGUGAGUAAUGCUUAGGAAUCUGCCUAUUAGUGGGGGUCAACAUCUCGAAAGGGAUGCUAAUACCGCAUACGUCCUACGGGAGAAAGCAGGGGAUCACUUGUGACCUUGCGCUAAUAGAUGAGCCUAAGUCGGAUUAGCUAGUUGGUGGGGUAAAGGCCUACCAAGGCGACGAUCUGUAGCGGGUCUGAGAGGAGGACCCGCCACACUGGGGCUGAGACACGGCCCAGACUCCUACGGGAGGCAGCAGUGGGGAAUAUUGGACAAUGGGGGGAACCCUGAUCCAGCCAUGCCGCGUGUGUGAAGAAGGCCUUAUGGUUGUAAAGCACUUUAAACGAGGAGGAGGCUUACCUAGUUAAUACCUGGGAUAAGUGGACGUUACUCGCAGAAUAAGCACCGGCUAACUCUGUGCCAGCAGCCGCCGUAA